CCUACGGGUGGCUGCAGUGAGGAAUAUUGGUCAAUGGCCGGAAGGCUGAACCAGCCAAGCCGCGUGAAGGACGACGGUGCCAAGCAUUGUAAACUUCUUUUGUCCGGGGACAAAAUCCGGCUCGAGAGCCUGACCGAGGGUACCUCAAGAAAAAGCAUCGGCUAAUUCCGUGCCAGCAGCCGCGGUAAUACGGAGGGUGCGGGCGUUAUCCGGAUUUAUUGGGUUUAAAGGGUGCGUGGGCGGACUGUUAAGUCAGCGGGAAAAUGUCGGGGCCCAACCCCGGCCGGCCGUUGAAACUGGCGUGCUCGAGUGCGCGAGAAGUAUGCGGAAUUCGUGGUGUAGCGGUGAAAUGCAUAGAUAUCACGAAGAACCCCGAUUGCGAAGGCAGCAUACGGGAUCGACACUGACGCUGAGGCACGAAAGCGUGGGUAUCGAACAGGAUUAGAUACCCUAGUAGUC
rnacentral:rRNA from 1 species